GGAAAACUCCAACCAUGUGUAUGGAUGAUAAACAUCUCAGUAAAUAAUGUACUUCGCAGCAAGUAAUGCGCUAAAUUAUACGAUAAACUGAACGAUUAUAUAUUAGAGAAUAACAACAACAGGACAUCAAUAUGGAGCAAUUUAAUAACCGUAAAAAGUUACGUUAAGGUCGAACCGGGUCAGCCAGAGAGUAAG